rnacentral:rRNA from 1 species
AGGGGCAGCGGGGGUGCAGGCUCGCCUGCACCUGCCGGCGACCGGCGCACGGGUGAGUAACACGUAUGGAACCUGCCCGCCACAGGGGGAUAACCCGGGGAAACCCGGCCUAAUACCCCAUGCCGCCUGGACCGGGCAUCCGGACCGGGCGAAAGGAGGAAUCCGGUGGCGGCUGGGCAUGCGGCGCAUUAGCUUGACGGCGGGGUAACGGCCCACCGUGGCGACGAUGCGUAGGGGUUCUGAGAGGAAGGCCCCCCACACUGGAACUGAGACACGGUCCAGACUCCUACGGGAGGCAGCAGUGAGGAAUAUUGGUCAAUGGGCGGAAGCCUGAACCAGCCAAGUCGCGUGAGGGAAUAAGGCCCUACGGGUCGUAAACCUCUUUUGCCGGGGAGCAAGGGCCGGGACGAGUCCCGGUCCGGAGAGUACCCGGAGAAAAAGCAUCGGCUAACUCCGUGCCAGCAGCCGCGGUAAUACGGAGGAUGCGAGCGUUAUCCGGAUUUAUUGGGUUUAAAGGGUGCGUAGGCGGGCUUUUAAGUCAGCGGUAAAAAUUCGGGGCUCAACCCCGUCCGGCCGUUGAAACUGGGGGCCUUGAGUGGGCGAGAAGAAGGCGGAAUGCGUGGUGUAGCGGUGAAAUGCAUAGAUAUCACGCAGAACCCCGAUUGCGAAGGCAGCCUUCCGGCGCCCUACUGACGCUGAGGCACGAAAGUGCGGGGAUCGAACAGGAUUAGAUACCCUGGUAGUCCGCACAGUAAACGAUGGAUGCCAGCUGUCCGGGCCGAAUGGGG